UUGAAGGGGAAGGAGAGCCUCUGAGAGCUCCACAGAGAAGCUGGGUGAGCGGUCCAAAGGCAGGAACUAUGGAAACUGUGGGGAGACAGCAGCCGCACCAAUGCAAGGACUGUCGGUGACAGAAGGGAGCUGAGGCAUGAACCCUGUGAAUAGUUGUGAGUCCAAAACCCUGCCUGCCAGACUCAGCAGCUGGGGUAUGCAGCAUCCUGGGUGAUAUUUAGAAAACUUUUGUAGGUGGAACUUGCCAGGGAUGAGCCCACAGGCCAGUGACAAGUGAAGUAAAGUGGCUGAUGGUCUCCAAAGAAACUUUUUUUGUUCCCAUUUUUUUUUUUGUUACAUUUUGUAUUUAUUUUAUUUUUAUAUAUAUUGUCAAUUUGUACAUGGUUA